GACGAACGCUGGCGGCGUGCUUAACACAUGCAAGUCGUACGGUAAGGCCCUUUCGGGGGUCCACGAGUGGCGAACGGGUGAGUAACACGUGAGUAACCUGCCCACAACUUUGGGAUAACGCUAGGAAACUGGUGCUAAUACUGGAUAUGUGCUCCUGCUGCAUGGUGGGGGUUGGAAAGCUCCGGCGGUUGUGGAUGGACUCGCGGCCUAUCAGCUUGUUGGUGGGGUAGUGGCCUACCAAGGCGGCGACGGGUAGCCGGCCUGAGAGGGUGACCGGCCACAUUGGGACUGAGAUACGGCCCAGACUCCUACGGGAGGCAGCAGGGGGGAAUAUUGCACAAUGGGCGCAAGCCUGAUGCAGCAACGCCGCGUGCGGGAUGACGGCCUUAGGGUUGUAAACCGAUUUCAGCAGGGACGAAGCUUUUUGUGACGGUACCUGCAGAAGAAGCACCGGCUAACUACGUG
rnacentral:rRNA from 1 species